rnacentral:rRNA from 1 species
GUCCACGCCGUAAACGAUGUCAACUAGUUGUUGGGUUCCUUGAGGACUUAGUAACGCAGCUAACGCAUUAAGUUGACCGCCUGGGGAGUACGGCCGCAAAGGUUAAAACUCAAAUGAAAUUGACGGGGGCCCGCACAAGCGGUGGAGCAUGUGGUUUAAUUCGAAGCAACGCGAAGAACCUUACCUGGCCUUGACAUGCUGAGAACUUUCUAGAGAUAGAUUGGUGCCUUCGGGAGCUCAGACACAGGUGCUGCAUGGCUGUCGU